rnacentral:rRNA from 1 species
UACGAAGGGGGCUAGCGUUGCUCGGAAUCACUGGGCGUAAAGCGCACGUAGGCGGAUCUUUAAGUCAGGGGUGAAAUCCUGGAGCUCAACUCCAGAACUGCCUUUGAUACUGGGGAUCUCGAGUCCGGAAGAGGUGAGUGGAACUCCGAGUGUAGAGGUGAAAUUCGUAGAUAUUCGGAAGAACACCAGUGGCGAAGGCGGCUCACUGGUCCGGUACUGACGCUGAGGUG